GUUUAUGGGUUGGUCGGUGCAUGUUUUGACAUAAUGGGUUCAUAAUUCAUUUAUUUGUGUUAUAAGCUUAUAAGGUUGAGUUUAUGUCUGAUCUUCAUUCCAAUCAUUUGUUGAGCAAGUUUUAAAGUUUGUUUUAAUUUUUUGAUCUGUAUUGUGAUUUGGAAAACAUUUUUUUAAAAUAAAAUAAAAUUUAUAUAUGGUUGUUUCUUGAUAUAAUGUUACACUUAAUGAGUAUGACAUCUAUUGUUGGGAUUUUAACGAGGCAAUUAUAGAAGCUGGCUUCACAUUUAUGGCUGCUAAUUUUGAUGGAAUACUUGGACUUGGAUUACAAGAGAUCUCAGUUGGAAAUGUUGCUCAGGUGCGUUUGAGAAGCUAAAAUGCCUCUCUUCUACGGUGCAGAGUUACAAUUUGAGGACAUUGAAGGCAAGUUCUAAUAUUUUUAUAUGCAAUUCCUUCAUUAUCAUGUGUUAUAAAUGUUAUUAUAACGAGCAAAUUAACACGUACAAAUUAUUGAUGUGAAGUCUUAUUUUCUUUUUAGGUUAACUUUAUACCAACAGUAGUAUUUGGUUGUACACAGGAUCCUUUCAUUGUUUACACUUCUAAUAUCUUUGCCAUCCUAGGUAAUUCUUGUUUCUACUUUUAUGGGAACUAUUCAGAAAACUGUAUCUGAGAAUUUUUUUAAUAUAUAUUUUUAUAAUUUAUAUAUAUUCAUAUACCAUUUUUGGCACUUUGAGUAACUUGUUAUUUAAUGGAUAUAAUCUCAAUUAAAUUAAUUAUUUAGUAGAAAGUCAUGAUUAAAUAGGAGUGAGCAUAUAUGUAUGCAGCAUGCAUGUUAAUAUUUAUUAUGACUUGUUCAAAUCAAAAUAGUUUCUGAUUAGUUUCAUAAGUUACAUGUAAGAAGAGACUAUAAUUAUCAUAUCAUAUUAUGUAGAGACUAUUAGUAUUUUUCCCUCUCUGUUUUUGGGUUUAUUUGCAUCAGAAACUUAGUUAAUCCUUCUUUCUUCGGUGUAUCUGUAAAUUUUUAACUAAAAUGCUGUUGUUAUGCCAUAUUCAAUAAUUAUGUGAUUUUUUAUCCCAUUCAAAAUAGUUUCUUGUUUUUUUUUUUUUUGUCAUGGGAAUAUUAUGAGAUCAAGUUUGUUGGGUUUAUUAGUUACACAUUGUUUAAUAUUAUGUCUUUUAAUAUUAAUAGUACUUUAAUAUUAUUGUUGUUUCAUUUCCCGUCCCUUCCCCAGAUAGAGGGAAUCAAAUGGAAGGUCGGGAAUCAAAUGGAAAUAAUAAAGCAUCAUAAUAUUUUUAGAUUUCAUUCGAUUUUAAGUGAAACAUAUCAGUUUUUUCAAAUUUUAGCUAAAACUUUUAGCUAGAAGUUUAUCAUGAUGACUUUAACUCUCUAAAUUGACUAAUCAGCUCGUGGAUUACCAACCGUAGAUGUGAAUGCUUUGGCUUAUGCACGGUCUAACAAUAAUGUUUUGAUUUUCAAACUGAUAACUAAUUGUUUAAAGCAUAACUAAUUGUCUGGUGCCAACUUGUAUUUAGAUAUGUUGCAUGAUCAAUUAAUGAAUGCCCUCUAAAAUAUUAGACUUCUAUUUCUGCGGGAAAAUCCAUCAUUUAAAUUGUUUAAAAUAAUAAUUACUGUACUAAUAAUGAUAAAUUAUGUGCUUUUAAACCCUGUCAAUGCUUCUGUUUACUUAAAUCUACAUAUAUAUAUAUAUAUAUAUAUGAUUGUCUAGUUUUAUUAGUUAUCUUAAAGAGUGAUCAACAAUUUAUGCAUCACUUGUAAAAUAUAUCUCACACGCUGAGAUUUCUGGUGACACCUUAUUUAUGAUUUUCCCCUUUCCCUCUUCAGCACCCCAAAGCUUUAUUGUCCCUCUGUUCUGAAAUUGAUGUUUCUCCUCGCCACUCCAUAGAUAGCUCACUGAAGUUAUUUUCCUAAGACACAAUCAUGCACUCACACCUCUCGGCUUCUCCUCAUAAGUCCCCGAACAGUUUAGGCUUUAGAUCUUUGGGUGAUUCAACAAGUGAAGUGCAAAAGAAAAUCUGAUUUGGAAGGCUUUGGUGUGCUGCCAUUUGGAAGAUCAUGAAUUCCUAUCUUUACUUUUGAAUAUGCAACUGUUUAAGACUAUUUUGUUGACUAUUGUGAGAAUGUGUUGUUUAUGUUAAUUAGGCAGUGUUGAAUAUCUUAAGACUUUUGGAUUGUUUUUUAGAUCAUCUUGAAUGUAUUUUGACACAAAUAUUUGGUUAUAUGUGUUAUGAACCAUAUAAUUGGUACUAAAAAAUAUAUUUGUACAAUGUUACGGGUGACUUAAGUAUAUUAAAUGAAGCGGGUUUGA